GACGGACCGCGCGAACGUUGUUCGGAAUCACUGGGCUUAAAGGGCGCGUAGGCGGAUUCUCAAGUCCGGGGUGAAAUCCCACAGCUCAACUGUGGAACUGCCUCGGAUACUGGGAGUCUCGAGGGUGGCAGGGGUAUGCGGAACUAUCGGUGGAGCGGUGAAAUGCGUUGAUAUCGAUAGGAACUCCGGUGGCGAAGGCGGCAUACUGGUCCACUUCUGACGCUGAGGCGCGAAAGCCAGGGGAGCAAACGGG
rnacentral:rRNA from 1 species